UACAGAGGUCCCAAGCGUUGUUCGGAUUCAUUGGGCGUAAAGGGUGCGUAGGCGGCGCGGUAAGUCGGGUGUGAAAUCUCGGGGCUUAACUCCGAAACUGCAUUCGAUACUGCCGUGCUUGAGGACUGGAGAGGAGACUGGAAUUUACGGUGUAGCGGUGAAAUGCGUAGAUAUCGUGAAGAAGACCAGUGGCGAAGGCGGGUCUCC
rnacentral:rRNA from 1 species